GGGGCAGGCCAGUUCUCCUGCUUUCUUACCCUGAGAAUCGUCUCUCCCACACCUGGACCACCAGGGCCAGCUCUACUGUGUUGCCCAGGAUUCAGCUUGCUGCACACAGUGUGUUGCUAAGUGACCUUAUUGGAGCAGUUUCUGUGUAAGAGCCUCCAGGAAAUACGAGUUCUAGGGAAGAAGAGCUUGUGAAUAAGGAGGGAGAUUUUAAUGCACCCGCUAAGGUCUCCAGCUCUGGCUCUUUGGCUCAUCAGAUGGGAGGAUACAUACUUACUCUAGAGCUGUGAUAUGCCAUACCACCUCAGGACUCUGCCAGCAGGAAGGCCAUCAUCAGAUAUAGCUUCUUGAGCUUGGACUGGAACA